GAAUUUUGGCUUCAAAGAUGCAUGAUCCAUCCUUCAAUAGGAUGAAUAUCUUUCUUACCACCUUCAAAAAGAAGUCUAAGUGCCGAGGAGCUGCAAUCUGUGAGGUGGUCCUUGUGAUGUGGCUCUGAGGGUCAUGGAGCAGACAGGAGAGGGAUUGGGUGCCUCUGGACACAGAACUACUUAGAACCAGCGUCUAAGGUCAGCAGAGACUAGAAUGCACUCUUCAUCCAGCAGCCUCCAUAACCUGGGUCUGUCACCACCACCCCCAUCAGUACAUAACCUGGGAAGUGGAUCUCAUCUCCAUGAGAAGGGGACAUUUGAGAUGCUAAUCACUACGGGAAAAAAGGAUUGAGAGUUUUAUUCCAGCCAAAUUAACUACCUGCUAGAAAUGAAACUACUGCUUCUUAUAAGAACAUAAUUAAAUCUAGUGUCUCUACAAUGCAUCACUAAAAUAUCUAGGAUACAAUCAAAGAUUACUAGAUACACCAAGAGAUAGGAUAAUGUAAUUGUACUCAAGAAAAAAUAAAGCAGUAAAUAUAAGCUGCCUCAGAAAUGACCCAGAUUAUCGAAUUGACGAAUA
rnacentral:lncRNA from 1 species